rnacentral:pre_miRNA from 1 species
CAACUACUCCCUCUGUCCCAAAAUUCUUGUCUUAGAUUUGUCUAGAUACGGAUGUAUCUAAUACUAAAAUGUGACUUGAUACAUCCGUAUCUAGACAAAUCUAGACAAGAAUUUUGGGACGGAGGGAGUACUUC